GGAUAACCUGCCCUUGGGACCGGCAUAACCCCGGGAAACUGGGAAUAAUUCCGGAUAACGCACAUAUGCUGGAAUGCUUUCUGCGUAAAAUGGAUUCGUCCGCCCAAGGAUGGGUCUGCGGCCUAUCAGGUAGUAGUGGGUGUAAUGUACCUACUAGCCUACAACGGGUACGGGUUGUGAGAGCAAGAGCCCGGAGAUGGAUUCUGAGACAUGAAUCCAGGCCCUACGGGGCGCAGCAGGCGCGAAAACUUUACAAUGCGGGAAACCGUGAUAAGGGGACACCGAGUGCUAGCAUCAUAUGCUGGCUGUCCAGGUGUGUAAAAUACACCUGUUAGCAAGGGCCGGGCAAGACCGGUGCCAGCCGCCGCGGUAACACCGGCGGCCCGAGUGGUGAUCGUGAUUAUUGGGUCUAAAGGGUCCGUAGCCGGUUUGGUCAGUCCUCCGGGAAAUCUGAUAGCUCAACUAUUAGGCUUUCGGGGGAUACUGCCAGGCUUGGAACCGGGAGAGGUAAGAGGUACUACAGGGGUAGGAGUGAAAUCUUGUAAUCCCUGUGGGACCACCUGUGGCGAAGGCGUCUUACCAGAACGGGUUCGACGGUGAGGGACGAAAGCUGGGGGCACGAACCGGAUUAGAUACCCGGGUAGUCCCAGCCGUAAACGAUGCUCGCUAGGUGUCAGGCAUGGCGCGACCGUGUCUGGUGCCGCAGGGAAGCCGUGAAGCGAGCCACCUGGGAAGUACGGCCGCAAGGCUGAAACUUAA
rnacentral:rRNA from 1 species